rnacentral:RNase_P_RNA from 1 species
AUCGCAAGUUGGGCAAUUGCUAUUCUAUAGUUUACUAUUGGAAUAGAGGAAAGUCCGAACUCCAAAGAACAGAGUGCCGGGUAACUCCCGGGGGUUAUAGUUUAUAGCCAUAACUACGGAAAGUGCAACAGAAAAUAUACUUUCUCGAUUUAUCGAGAUAAAGGUGAAAUGGCAGGGUAAGAGCCUACCGCUUUGCUAGUAAUAGCAAGGGUCCGUAAUGGAGUCCCGACUUGUCGGGAUCAGUGCAAACCCCACUUGGAGCAAGAUCAUGUAAAGGAUUGUCUGCAAAUGCAGAGCAAAGUUGUUCGCUUUGAUGAUUCCGGGUAGAUCGCUUGAUUCUGAUAGUAAUAUCAGAACUAGAUAAAUAAUUGCCAUCCCGAUUUAUCGGGAAACAAAAUUCGGCUUACAGAUUUGCGAUAUCA